rnacentral:lncRNA from 1 species
UUGUAUUGCUGCAAUACAUUGUGCACCAACAAAAUUAUUUAGAAUUUUGAUGUUUAUGAGUGCUUAUACUCUUAUAUAACCUUGUAUGUAGGAUCCAACAGAUAAAAGAAAGGAUGGUUUGGACUUGGGGGCAGUUAGCAAGGACUCUGUGAAAUCAGUUGAAAAGUAUUUGCACUUGCCCAUUAAGGACAUGAUUCUGGACAAACUUGAAACUGUGGGCAUAAGAGAUUUUGUUGGUUCGAGGGCCGAGCUUCGCUUCAUAAAGCUUUUGCUUGUAUCUUCCCCGUCCCUUCAAACCAUGAGGCUUUGGUACAGUGAUGAUUGCAAAGAAGAGGCGAGGUCUCGGAUUUCACGAGAGUUGCUCCAGUACAAUAGAUGCGCAUCAACAACUGUAAAAUUAAUAAUGCAAUAGUCAAAUUAGUUACUUGCCUUUCUAAAUCAUCUCUCUCAGACAAAUUGCACAGGAUGUUUACUUUAUUAUUCAAUUCUAUUUCCUUUUAUGGUCAUUUAAUUUUUCAGCUAAAUGUUUAGGGAAUUCGGACUUUUAAGUACUCAAAACAUUCUCUACAGAAUGUCCACUUAUUUGUUUUCCUGUGGGGAGUUAAAUGAUUUGACUCUCUCGCUUACUGCAUUCUGAAACCACCUCUAAAAUUUGGAGGCUUCUCCGAUCUAAAAAUUUUUAGGCCUAUGGAUGUCAUAAUUACUGCUGACAUAUUAUCGGGGCCUAAACUCGAACAAUUGUUUAUGCAGCUUUGCAUUGGGAUCAAACAUUUGGGAUGCAUAUUUUCAAAAUCAUAGCAAUCUUAGUAAAUUGAUGAUUGAAAGUGGAGAAAUCGAUUGGAAAUUGUUUGAAUGCGCCCAAAAGGAGCAUCUCGUUAGUCUCACGUUGAAAGGAGUGACCAACCCCAGAGAGAAAAUCGCCAAUUUAGAGAAGUUUGCUGGCAUUAUGCCUAGAACGAGUAAUCUGCUUGUUGAUGAUUUUCCUCAAGGUGAAGUGAAAACUUUUCUAUACUGCUAAGUAGUGGAGUUUAUAAGCUUUCCUUAUAUUUUAGCUUGUGGGCAUUAGAUUUAUCUGUAACAGACCAACUUCAUUAAGUUAUCUCUGUUUUUAUUCUUUUUUUAUUUCUUCAAUUUACAUUACUGUCUAAUACUAUUAUUUAGAUGAAGACACUGAGCCUAAGAUAAUCAGGAUAGCAUCAUACCAGCAGAAAGUACCUUGGGUUCGACAGUGGUUUCGUUUGAAAAGGUCGACAGACUGUGAAUCACUGUGAAAUUAGUUGAGAAGUGUAAUUUGAUUGCAUAAAUACACCUCUUUAUUGCUAUACUAUAUUUUUGCAUCAACUAUAUGUUUGUUAAAGCUUAGAAAUUACUGAAUACUCUCUUAUAUAACCUUGUAUGUAGGAUCCUAAAUGAAGUAGCAGGGAUGAUUUGAACUUGGGGGCACAGAGAGAGGACUCUGUGAAAUUAGUUGAGAAGUGUUCGCAAAUGCCAAUCAAGGACAUGAUUCUGGACAUAGACAGGGUGAUUGGUUCAAGGCCUGAACUUCGCUUCAUAAAGCUUAUG